GGUAAAAUCUCAACUCAUCUUACUUGCUUAUUUGUAUACACUAACACUUGUGCAUGCUUUUGUCCACGUUGUUCCUUUGACGAUGAAUAAAUACCCCUUUUCUUUCUUUCUACAUUAAAGAUGCCUUUUCAUCUGAUUAAAUUUAUAAUGAACAGGGACAUUGCGGUUGUCCCAAGUGGAUGGUAUGAUGAUGGGAUGGUUUUCUGGCCCAGCUAUAAAAACACCGACGGAAUUAAAAGGGCCGCUUUAAAUGAGGAGCAGCAUUAGCCAAACUGGCCAAGAUUUGACGUUUCUGUUGUCCGAACUUGUGCUCCACCGUCUCGCCGAGUGCCAGCAAGAGUCAUGAGUACUUGUCAACUCGACUCCUCAACUGGAGAUGACUUUCUAGCACCUGCAUUAAACAUGCAGAGAGUUACACAAGGAAGGG